rnacentral:rRNA from 1 species
AUUGAACGCUGGCGGCAGGCCUAACACAUGCAAGUCGAGCGGAUGAAGGGAGCUUGCUCCUGGAUUCAGCGGCGGACGGGUGAGUAAUGCCUAGGAAUCUGCCUGGUAGUGGGGGAUAACGUCCGGAAACGGGCGCUAAUACCGCAUACGUCCUGAGGGAGAAAGUGGGGGAUCUUCGGACCUCACGCUAUCAGAUGAGCCUAGGUCGGAUUAGCUAGUUGGUGGGGUAAAGGCCUACCAAGGCGACGAUCCGUAACUGGUCUGAGAGGAUGAUCAGUCACACUGGAACUGAGACACGGUCCAGACUCCUACGGGAGGCAGCAGUGGGGAAUAUUGGACAAUGGGCGAAAGCCUGAUCCAGCCAUGCCGCGUGUGUGAAGAAGGUCUUCGUAUUGUAAAGCACUUUAAGUUGGGAGGAAGGGCAGUAAGUUAAUACCUUGCUGUUUUGACGUUACCAACAGAAUAAGCACCGGCUAACUUCGUG